UGUGUGCGCCACAGUUAAAUCCUCUCGUCACAGAGUGUAGCCCUUCCUGGGAGCCCUUCAGCCUUAAACCUAAAUUGUUGGCUUUCAACUAGCGUGCAUGAAGGGUCGCUCUGAGCUGUGAAGUUCUAUGGGUUUUGACCAGUGCACGAUGUCCUGUGCCCAUGGUUACAGGAUCGCCCAGAUCCUGCCUGUACUCCACAUAUUAGUCCCCCCCUUCCCCCAAGCACCUGGCAUCCACUGACCCACUUAGUGACCAUAGUUUUUCCUUUUCCAGAAUGUCAUACGGUUAGAAUCAGACAGUGUGCAACCCUUCAGACUGGCUUCUUUCACUUGUUGAUAUGCAUGUAAGGCUUCUCAUAUUUUCAUGACUCGACAGCUCAUUUCUCUUCGUGGCUGAAUGAUAUUCCACAUCUGUAACACGAGAUGGGCCUGCGUCCUUCCUGCCAUCUGCACAUCUUCUUUGAUGGUUCCUGUGCAUGUUCUCCUUCGUUAGCAUGCUAAUUUAUUCUGACUCAUCGCGAAACUGCUGCAGGCGGGGCUGGCGCACACCUCAAUGCCACAGCAAGACCCGGGGGCCCGUGAUUCCCAGCUGGAACAGGAGCCCUCCCUGGGGGCUGUCACCAACACCGGGAUCGGGAGGGCAAGGCUGGAGACACGGGCUCUGCGAACGUUCACGCCAGAAAGUUCCGGAUAGCGCACAAAUGGUCAGCUUCUGGGACACCCAGCCUACUGUCCUGUCCUACUGGGCAAAACUCACCGACAUGGCCACCCUGACCGCUUGGGCCUGGAAAACAG